GGCGCCGUGGCUUAGUGGUCAAGCGCUUGUCUUGUAAACAGGAGAUCCUGGGUUCGAUUCCAGCGGUGCCU